UCUUGUCUAAUUUAAUCCAAAAUACAUACCUUGUAACUAUGAAAUACAACCCUGCGUGACAAGAC
rnacentral:tRNA from 1 species